AAUCAACGCUGGCGGCGUGCCUAACACAUGCAAGUCGCACGGGAAAGGGACUUCGGUCCUGAGUAAAGUGGCGCACGGGUGAGUAACACGUGAAUCAUCUACCUUCGAGUGGGGAAUAACUGGGAGAAAUCUCAGCUAAUACCGCAUAAUACCUACGGGUCAAAGCAGCAAUGCGCUUGAAGAGGAGUUCGCGGCAGAUUAGUUAGUUGGCGGGGUAAUGGCCCACCAAGACGAUGAUCUGUAUCCGGCCUGAGAGGGCGCACGGACACACUGGAACUGAAACACGGUCCAGACUCCUACGGGAGGCAGCAGUGGGGAAUUUUGCGCAAUGGGGGAAGCCCUGACGCAGCAACGCCGCGUGGAGGAUGAAGUAUCUUGGUACGUAAACUCCUUUCGAUGGGGAAGAUAAUGACGGUACCCAUAGAAGAAGCCCCGGCUAACUUCGUGCCAGCAGCCGCGGUAAUACGAGGGGGGCAAGCGUUGUUCGGAAUUAUUGGGCGUAAAGGGUGCGUAGGCGGCAUGCCAAGUCAGGGGUGAAAGGUUUCGGCCCAACCGGGACAGUGCCUUUGAUACUGGCG
rnacentral:rRNA from 1 species